rnacentral:rRNA from 1 species
CCUACGGGUGGCAGCAGUGAGGAAUAUUGGUCAAUGGACGAGAGUCUGAACCAGCCAAGUAGCGUGAAGGAUGACUGCCCUAUGGGUUGUAAACUUCUUUUAUAUGGGAAUAAAGUGUUCCACGUGUGGCAUUUUGUAUGUACCAUAUGAAUAAGGAUCGGCUAACUCCGUGCCAGCAGCCGCGGUAAUACGGAGGGUCCGAGCGUUAUCCGGAUUUAUUGGGUUUAAAGGGAGCGUAGGUGGUUUGUUAAGUCAGUUGUGAAAGUUUGGGGCUCAACCGUAAAAGUGCAGUUGAAACUGGCAGUCUUGAGUACAGUAGAGGUGGGCGGAAUUCGUGGUGUAGCGGUGAAAUGCUUAGAUAUCACGAAGAACUCCGAUUGCGAAGGCAGCUCACUGGACUGCAACUGACACUGAGGCACGAAAGUGUGGGUAUCAAACAGGAUUAGAUACCCCUGUAGUC